AUGAUUUUUUAAAUUGCUGUGGUAUUUUGACUAUACAAAGGUAUUGUAAUAAGGCUUUAAUUGAGUGCUAAAAGAAUGGAUUUUCAAAAAAAUUCUUUCUUAAAAUUAAAAAUUGAAAUUAUUUUUAUUUGUGAAGAAACAAUAAUAUUAAUUAAUGACAAGAAGACCCUACGAAUUUUUAUAAAUUUAUAUUUAUAAUAUUAUACACAUAAAUUUAUUUAAUUGGGGCGAUUUAAAAAUAUAAAAAACUUUAUAUAAAAAAAAUGUGAACCAUUAUUAAUGAUAUCAUGAAAAAAAAUACUCUAGGGAUAACAGCGUAAUAAUUUUAGAUAGAUCUUAUAGAAAAAAUAGUUUGCGACCUCGAUGUUGGAUUAGGAUUCUUAUUUAAUGAAGAAGUUAAAAGAAGAAGUUUGUUCAACUUUUGAAUUCCUACUUGAUCUGAUUCAGACCG
rnacentral:rRNA from 1 species